GCUUUGCAGACAGGUUUAUUCAUGUAGGCAAAUCCUUCCUUAAGUGUUCAGGGCCAGUUUCUCUGCUACCCAGAGACAGGGACAGAAUUGGCUUCUGCAGUAGAGUCCCAGUGGAGGAGCUGCUCUAACAAAGCUCCAGCACAGCAUGUCUCUUCCCACCAAGUAGAAAUUUAGGGUUCCUUGCAUGCUAAACCUAUGCUUAAAUGAUCUGCUGGAUUGAAGAGUCUUCUCCAAAGUGCUUGUAGCUUUCCUUGGGAUCCUAAGCCCUGUGGACCUCUGAAGAGAAGUAAAUGACUGCCUGAUAAAGCCACAUGAAACCUCCAGCCACCUUGGUGAGGGUCCAUGCUACCAAGCUGCUGUAGCGGUAAGUCUGCUGCAGCCCAGGCUUCUGGGAGCCUGUUUUGUGUUGAGGCUUCCCUCAGUGGCACUGGUGGCUGAAGGGGUCCUUCUCUCUUCCUGCGCCAUAGGCGCACCCGAGCAGCCGAAAAUAACACUUCCUUUUUCUGUUAUCAUUGCAUUGUUUUUCUCAGCUGGAUCAGUCCUCUGAUGUAACUUGUUGUUUCACUGCUCAGAUACUUGUGCUGGUAUCAUGAAGGGCAGCAUCAGGCGAGCAUGGGCAAGCAAGGAAGGGAGAAGUAUCUCUGCUCACACUGUGCAGUCACCAGUGUCAUCUCAACCAAUUUUAGGUGGGGAUGUCCCAGUCCUGCUCUCUUAGCAUUCAUCUGAUAAGCUGGUGAAUCAGCCUGGGGAAACAAACUGUUCAAAAACUAUUGCUGAGAUCCCUGGGAUGGGAUGUUUAUUUAGCUGUGGUAAGGAACUGGUCCUGAAACAUCUAACCGUGGCCACAGAGCUCUCUUAACCUCUUUGAGGGCUCAAAACACUUUGGCAAGUGUUGAUCAGCCUGACUUAUUGUCCUAUCAAAGAGACAGGAGGAAAAGAGACGGGCUGGAACUUUUGAAAGAGUUGCAGAGAAUGCAGGAAUCAGGCUGGAGAGCUCACAUGAAGAUCACAGUUUAGGAGACUUGCAAGGGGACUACCUCAAAUCUAUCCUAUUAAUCUCAUGAUCCAAAGCAAUAUCAGGGACAGCCCCACCUCCCACCACCAAGCCUGUGUCUGAAAAUACACCCAUAAACAAAUGCAAAGUGUAGGUAUACAAGCAAUUCCGCAGUCACAGUAGCUAUUGUGACAG